rnacentral:rRNA from 1 species
AUCCUGGCUCAGGAUGAACGCUAGCGACAGGCCUAACACAUGCAAGUCGAGGGGCAGCACAAGGAGCAAUCUGAGGUGGCGACCGGCGCACGGGUGAGUAACACGUAUGCAACCUGCCUGUAAGCGGGGAAUAACCCGUUGAAAGACGGACUAAUACCGCAUAAUACUAAAUUACUGCAUGGUAAUUUAUUUAAACAUUUAUGGCUUACAGAUGGGCAUGCGCAUGAUUAGCUAGUUGGGGAGGUAACGGCUCCCCAAGGCAACGAUCAUUAGGGGUUCUGAGAGGAAGGUCCCCCACACUGGUACCGAGACACGGACCAGACUCCUACGGGAGGCAGCAGUGAGGAAUAUUGGUCAAUGGACGAGAGUCUGAACCAGCCAAGUCGCGUGCAGGAAGAAUUGUCCUAUGGAUUGUAAACUGCUUUUGCAGGGGAAUAAAGUGCAUCACGUGUGAUGUUUUGUAUGUACUCUGCGAAUAAGGAUCGGCUAACUCCGUGCCAGCCGCCGC